CCCAAGUGCUAUCUCUUGAUUGAUUUUUUG
rnacentral:piRNA from 1 species